GAUGAACGCUAGCUACAGGCUUAACACAUGCAAGUCGAGGGGUAACGAGAGGGAAGCUUGCUUUCCUUGUCGACGACCGGCGCACGGGUGAGUAACGCGUAUCCAACCUGCCCCCAACUAGGGAAUAACCUUGCGAAAGUAAGACUAAUACCCUAUAAUUUCCUCAGAUGUCAUCUGACGAGGAAUAAAGAUUUAUCGGUUGUGGAUGGGGAUGCGUCUGAUUAGCUUGGUGGCGGGGUAACGGCCCACCAAGGCAACGAUCAGUAGGGGUUCUGAGAGGAAGGUCCCACAAAUUGGAACUGAGACACGGUCCAAACUCCUACAGGAGGCAGCAGUGAGGAAUAUUGGUCGAUGGGCGGAAGCCUGAACCAUCCAAGUAGCGUGCAGUAUGACGGCCCUAUGGGUUGUAAACUGCUUUUAUACAGGAAUAAAGUUAGCCACGUGUGGUUAUUUGUAGGUACUGUAUGAAUAAGGACCGGCUAAUUCCGUGCCAGCCGCCGCAGUAA
rnacentral:rRNA from 1 species